rnacentral:rRNA from 1 species
AUUGAACGCUGGCGGCAGGCCUAACACAUGCAAGUCGAGCGGAUGAAGGGAGCUUGCUCCUGGAUUCAGCGGCGGACGGGUGAGUAAUGCCUAGGAAUCUGCCUGGUAGUGGGGGAUAACGUCCGGAAACGGGCGCUAAUACCGCAUACGUCCUGAGGGAGAAAGUGGGGGAUCUUCGGACAUCACGCUAUCAGAUGAGCCUAGGUCGGAUUAGCUAGUUGGUGGGGUAAAGGCCUACCAAGGCGACGAUCCGUAACUGGUCUGAGAGGAUGAUCAGUCACACUGGAACUGAGACACGGUCCAGACUCCUACGGGAGGCAGCAGUGGGGAAUAUUGGACAAAGGGCGAAAUCCUGAUCCAGCCAUGCCGCGUGUGUGAAGAAGGUCUUCGGAUUGUAAAGCACUUUAAGUUGGGAGGAAGGGCAGUAAGUUAAUACCUUGCUGUUUUGACGUUACCAACAGAAUAAGCACCGGCUAACUUCGUG